GUGGGAUGACGUCAAGUCAUCAUGGCCCUUAUGUCCAGGGCUACACACGUGCUACAAUGGGUGAGACAGAGUGACGCGAAGCCGCGAGGUGGAGCAAAUCGACAGAAAUCAUCCGUAGUUCGGAUUGGAGUCUGAAACCCGACUCCAUGAAGGUGGAAUCGCUAGUAAUCGCGCAUCAGCAUGGCGCGGUGAAUUACCGGUUCCCGGGCCUU
rnacentral:rRNA from 1 species